rnacentral:rRNA from 1 species
CAGCCGCCACGGUAAUACGUAGGGUGCAAGCGUUAAUCGGAAUUACUGGGCGUAAAGCGUGCGCAGGCGGUUAUAUAAGUCAGAUGUGAAAUCCCCGGGCUCAACCUGGGAACUGCAUUUGAGACUGUAUGGCUAGAGUGUGUCAGAGGGGGGUAGAACUCCACGUGUAGCAGUGAAAUGCGUAGAUAUGUGGAGGAAUACCGAUGGCGAAGGCAGCCCCCUGGGAUAGCACUGACGCUCAUGCACGAAAGCGUGGGGAGCAAACAGGAUUAGAUACCCCCGUAGUCCCUGUCUCUUAUAC